GCCCAGACUCCUACGGGAGGCAGCAGUGGGGGAUAUUGCACAAUGGGGGAAACCCUGAUGCAGCGACGCCGCGUGGGUGAAGAAGCGCCUCGGCGCGUAAAGCCCUGUCAGCAGGGAAGAAAAUGACGGUACCUGAAGAAGAAGCCCCGGCUAACUACGUGCCAGCAGCCGCGGUAAUACGUAGGGGGCAAGCGUUAUCCGGAUUUACUGGGUGUAAAGGGAGCGUAGACGGCUGCGCAAGUCAGAAGUGAAAGCCCGGGGCUCAACCGCGGGACUGCUUUUGAAACUGUGUAGCUAGAGUGCAGGAGAGGUAAGUGGAAUUCCUAGUGUAGCGGUGAAAUGCGUAGAUAUUAGGAGGAACACCGGUGGCGAAGGCGGCUUACUGGACUGUAACUGACGUUGAGGCUCGAAAGCGUGGGGAGCAAACAGGAUUAGAUACCCGAGUAA
rnacentral:rRNA from 1 species